GGGGCUGACUUAAGCAUGAUGAGAGCAGAAAUUCACAAAUUUGACUCUCAUUACGUUGAUAAUCUCAUUGGUUGUUUCCCCUAAUCAAGCUCGUACAAUAUACCAGGCACUGAAGAAAAAGGAUUUGCCAGUUGCUCUUGUCGAGUAUGAAGGACAGCAGCAUGGUUUCUGCAAGGUAUGUACUAAUUUUAUGUAUCAUCUGACCACAAGAUUUGUAUUGGAGAGGGGUACAUUAGCUUGAUCACUGAUUGUUUACACGCUGAGAACAUCAAGUUUACAUUGGAACAAGAAAUGGUUUUUUUUGCCCGUUUGGUUGGACACUUCAAUGUUGCAGAUGAAAUCAAUCCAAUCAAAAUUGACAAUUUUGACUGAUCAUGUAUCAAAGUAUCUGGUUCCUGGGAUUUUCUGUGUGGUAUUUUGCUAUUAUUGCUUGCUAAAGAACGACUUCUUCCGUCUGACCAGGGACAUUAGCCAGCUCCUUUGCAGGAACUUUAAGGGAUUUGCUCUUAUAAUUUGACAGCAGUAAAUUGAAAGAAACUUGAGAAGUUCAUGGCUCCAAACUUUUGCAAUAUCUUUGUUUUGUUGGAUACUAAUUUUAGGAACCGGAAGCAUAAAUGACUACAUUGUCAUAUUUUUUUUAUUAAGAUUUUUUUUUUU